rnacentral:sRNA from 14 species
AUGACAACAGUAGAAAGCAAAGCCCUCUGUUUCUCUGCAGAAUUGGUACAGAGGAGCUUUGGCAAUGCCAGUAUCUCUCCAUAACCCCAUCUGUGUUCUGUAGCUGUAACCUUGAAGGAUCACCUUUAGGAAGGAGAAGAUGCUUGGUUUCUUUACUUUUCCUAUCCUUAGCCUCU